ncrna:unclassified sequences RAGATH-10 RNA
GAAACCUCAUCUUCGGUCGCGCCAUCCGGGCGUUGAUCAGUGCUUACAGCACGGGCGUUUGCCCAGAUGAGGAGAAGGU